CCUACGGGUGGCAGCAGUGAGGAAUAUUGGUCAAUGGCCGGAAGGCUGAACCAGCCAAGCCGCGUGAAGGACGAAGGUGCCACGCAUUGUAAACUUCUUUUGUCAAGGGACAAAAUCCGGCUCGAGAGCCUGCCCGAGGGUACCUGAAGAAAAAGCAUCGGCUAACUCCGUGCCAGCAGCCGCGGUAAUACGGAGGAUGCGAGCGUUAUCCGGAUUUAUUGGGUUUAAAGGGUGCGUAGGCGGGCUGUUAAGUCAGCGGUAAAAGCCCGGGGCUCAACCCCGGCGAGCCGUUGAAACUGGGGGUCUUGAGAGGGCGAGAGGUAUGCGGAAUGAGCGGUGUAGCGGUGAAAUGCUUAGAUAUUGCGCAGAACUCCGAUUGCGAAGGCAGCAUACCGGCGGCGGUCUGACGCUGAGGCACGAAAGCGUGGGUAUCGAACAGGAUUAGAUACCCCUGUAGUC
rnacentral:rRNA from 1 species